GACGAACGCUGGCGGCGUGCUUAACACAUGCAAGUCGAACGGAAAGGCCCUGCUCUUGUUGGGUUCUCGAGUGGCGAACGGGUGAGUAACACGUGAGUAACCUGCCCUUGUCUGUGGGAUAACUUCAGGAAACUGGGGCUAUAACCGCAGAGGAGCUCUUGAUCCGUGUGGGUGGUUGGAAAAUUUCGGUGGUUGGGGAUGGACUAGAUGCUUACCAGCUGCUUGGUGGGGUAGUGGCGUACCAGGGCUUUGACGGGUAGCCGGCAUGAGAGGGUGACCGGCCACCUUGGGACUGAGAUACGGCGCAGACUCCUACGGGAGGCAGUAGUGGGGAGUAUUGCACAAUGGGCGGACGUGUGAUGCAGAAGCGCCGCGUGCGGGAUGCCGGCCUUCGGGUUGUAAACCGAUUUCGCCUGUGACGAAGCGUGAGUGACGGUAAUGGGUCAAGAAGCACCGGCUAACUACGUG
rnacentral:rRNA from 1 species